UAACCUGAACUUCAAGAGCUGCAAAACUGAAACCCAGCUGCUGGCAGGGGUCGGAGGGCAAGUUUGGAAGACAAGGAAUGGGGUGCCGAGUUCUGUGAAAAGUUAUCAUUCUCAUUGCUUGGCCUUCAGUUGGAACCAUACUCAUGAAGUAUCUCAGAAUAUGUGAAUCUGUGUUACAAAAAGCUUUAUUGAGGUAUCAUUGAUCUACAAAGAAUCAAACAUAUUUAGUGUGAACGAUUUGAUGAGUUUGGACAUAUGCAGACACCAUGAUGCUGUCACCACAAUCAAGGUGAGGCGAGGGAGCAGGAAGGGCACUGCCUGGGAGGCAUCAGGACAUGCAGAGAAAGACCCUGCAUCCGUCCUGGGAAGCACUGGGCACCCUGAGGAAUGCUCCCCGUCUUGCAGGCAGCCGAUGUGCAGGCAGUUCCCCGGGGCUAUCACAAGAGGAAAUCCUGGGUCUUUGGUGCUCAUCUGCCCUGUGCUUCCUCACUCUCCACUCUCCUCCAGCAAAUCCCAGUCUGGGGACACCAGCCAUUGCUAGCACUGGACAGAGAUCACCGCAGCAGGAGAGAAGAAAAGGCCAAGGCCUGCCCGGCUCCGGGGAGAUGUGAUCUGGGUGUCAUCAUAGACUGUCCGGGUGUCAUCAGAG